UACGUAGGGGGCGAGCGUUGUCCGGAUUUAUUGGGCGUAAAGAGCGUGUAGGCGGCCAGGUAGGUCUGCUGUGAAAACUCGAGGCUUAACCUCGAGAUGUCGGCGGAAACCAUCUGGCUAGAGUCCGGAAGAGGAGAGCGGAAUUCCUGGUGUAGCGGUGAAAUGCGCAGAUAUCAGGAGGAACACCCGUGGCGAAGGCGGCUCUCUGGGACGGUACUGACGCUGAGACGCGAAAGCGUGGGGAGCGAACAGG
rnacentral:rRNA from 1 species